GAUGAAGAACGCAGCGAAAUGCGAUGCGUAAUGUGAAUUGCAGAAUUCAGUGAAUCAUCGAAUCUUUGAACGCAUAUUGCGCUCUCUGGUAUUCCGGAGAGCAUGCUUGUUUGAGUAUCAGUAAACACCUCAACUUCCAUAUCUUUUUUGAAAUGGGAGUUGGACUUGAGUGAUCCCAACGCUUUUCCUCACCGAAAAGUGGCGGGUUACUUGAAAUGCAGGUGCAGCUGGACUUUUCUCUGAGCUAUAAGCAUAUCUAUUUAGUCUGCCUAAAAAACAGAUUAUUACCUUUGCUGCAGCUAACAUAAAGGAGAUUAGUUCUUGUGCUGACUGAUGCAGGAUUCACAAAGACAGGCUUCGGCCGACUUUGUAAACUCGAUCUCAAAUCAAGUAAGACUACCCGCUGAACUUAAGCAUAUCAAUAAGCGGAGGA
rnacentral:misc_RNA from 1 species